UUCCGGUUGAUCCUGCCGGAGGCCAUUGCUAUCGGAGUCCGAUUUAGCCAUGCUAGUUGCACGAGUUUAGACUCGUAGCAUAUAGCUCAGUAACACGUGGCCAAACUACCCUACAGACCGCAAUAACCUCGGGAAACUGAGGCCAAUAGCGGAUAUAACUCUCAUGCUGGAGUGCCGAGAGUUAGAAACGUUCCGGCGCUGUAGGAUGUGGCUGCGGCCGAUUAGGUAGAUGGUGGGGUAACGGCCCACCAUGCCGAUAAUCGGUACAGGUUGUGAGAGCAAGAGCCUGGAGACGGUAUCUGAGACAAGAUACCGGGCCCUACGGGGCGCAGCAGGCGCGAAACCUUUACACUGCACGACAGUGCGAUAGGGGGACUCCGAGUGUGAGGGCAUAUAGCCCUCGCUUUUCUGUACCGUAAGGUGGUACAGGAACAAGGACUGGGCAAGACCGGUGCCAGCCGCCGCGGU
rnacentral:rRNA from 1 species